CUACGGGUGGCUCCAGUUAGGAAUCUUCCGCAAUGGGCGAAAGCCUGACGGAGCGACACCGCGUGGAGGACGAAGCCCUAUCCGGGUGUAAACUCCUGUUCUGAGGGACGAAAUUUUUGACGGUACCUCAGGAGAAAGCACCGGCUAAUCCUGUGCCAGCAGUCGCGGUAAGACAGGAGGUGCAAGCGUUACUCGGAAUUACUGGGCGUAAAGCGUCUGCAGGCGCCCCGCACAGGUCCGGCAUGAAAUCGCAGCGCUCAACGCUGUGCCCAUGCUGGAAACCCGCGGGGUUGAGGCACUCAGAGGCAUCUGGAAUGCCGUGUGUAGGGGUAAAAUCCGUUGAUACACGGUGGAACGCCAAAAGCGAAGGCAGGAUGCUGGGGGUGUCCUGACGCUCAGAGACGAAAGCGUGGGGAGCAAACCGGAUUAGAUACCCGUGUAGUC
rnacentral:rRNA from 1 species